rnacentral:lncRNA from 1 species
CACAAGCAUCAUAGCUUUGGCUUUUCUGAGACACCUCCACUUGAUAAGCAUGACACAAGAUGUCACAGAGACACUAAUUUUAUAAAGGCAAAUGGUCAAAUUUCUGUGGAACUUAUCGGCAGAAACACAGUCACAACAGCGCACGCUGACUGUCUCACAGCAAAGAGCUCCAGGGACAGACAAUCUUGAAGCAUCAGGAGAACAAGUUUCAUCUGUGGCCAAGAGCGAUGUGGGGGAAAGAAACAAGAAGGAAGGAUCUACCUGAGGCCACUUCUGGGGCUGUGGAGCUAGGCAGUGGUCCAGGCCAGACUCAGGAAAGGCCUGAGGUGAGCCUGAGCUGAGGACAGGGAGGAGUCAUGCAGCUGCUUUCUGAAGAAGGGAGAACAGGCUACUGCAACUGCUGGAUGAAGCUGGCAUCUGAACUCACUUGUGGGAAAUGCCAUUGACAUCACACAACUGGAUUUUCAGCGAGGCCUGAGGAGAACUCGUGAUCCUCUUGCAGGGGAAAGUUCAUCUCUUGGCCUGUAUAUUUGAGUCUUCUACCUCCUUGAGAACAGCAAUGAUGCUUUACUGUGGAAAACUGCAGGCACACAACAAAAAUGGAUAAAGAGUCCUACACAACCCUUACCCAUUUUCAACUCACAAGAAUGUAUGCCCCCACAUUCUCCCCUGUUGGGUUAUUUGGGUCAAUCCAAAACAUAAAGGGCUUUUAUCUGUAAGUACUAUGACCUGGAUGGCAUUCCCAGAAUGCUGUUCCUUAAAUAAUACUAGUAAUAGUAAUAAAAUAAAUAAUCCAGUCUCACUCUCUGUCUCUCUGUCUCUCUCUGUCUCUCUGUCUCUCUCUGUCUCCCUGUCUCCCUG